UACGAAGGGGGCUAGCGUUGCUCGGAAUCACUGGGCGUAAAGCGCACGUAGGCGGGCUCUUAAGUCGGUGGUGAAAUCCUGGAGCUCAACUCCAGAACUGCCUCCGAUACUGAGAGUCUUCGAGUUCGGGAGAGGUGAGUGGAACUGCGAGUGUAGAGGUGAAAUUCGUAGAUAUUCGCAAGAACACCAGUGGCGAAGGCGGCUCACUGGCCCGAUACUGACGCUGAGGUGCGAAAGCGUGGGGAGCAAACAGGG
rnacentral:rRNA from 1 species